rnacentral:rRNA from 1 species
AUUGAACGCUGGCGGCAGGCCUAACACAUGCAAGUCGAGCGGAUGAAGGGAGCUUGCUCCUGGAUUCAGCGGCGGACGGGUGAGUAAUGCCUAGGAAUCUGCCUGGUAGUGGGGGAUAACGUCCGGAAACGGGCGCUAAUACCGCAUACGUCCUGAGGGAGAAAGUGGGGGAUCUUCGGACCUCACGCUAUCAGAUGAGCCUAGGUCGGAUUAGCUAGUUGGUGGGGUAAAGGCCUACCAAGGCGACGAUCCGUAACUGGUCUGAGAGGAUGAUCAGUCACACUGGAACUGAGACACGGUCCAGACUCCGAAGGGAGGCAGCAGUGGGGAAUAUUGGACAAUGGGCGAAAGCCUGAUCCAGCCAAGCCGCGUGUAUGAAGAAGGUCUUCGGAUGGUAGAGCACCUUAAGUUGGGAGGAAGGGCAGCAAGUUAAGACCUUGCUGCAGUGACGGUACCAGCAGAAUUAGCACGGGCGAAAGUCGUG